UACGUAGGGUGCAAGCGUUUGUCCGGAAUUAUUGGGCGUAAAGAGCUCGUAGGCGGUCUGUCGCGUCGGCUGUGAAAACUCGGGGGCUCAACUCCGAGCUUGCAGUCGAUACGGGCAGGCUAGAGUUCGGCAGGGGGAGACUGGAAUUCCUGGUGUAGCGGUGAAAUGCGCAGAUAUCAGGAGGAACACCGGUGGCGAAGGCGGGUCUCUGGGCCGAUACUGACGUGAGGAGCGAAAAGCGUGGGGGAGC
rnacentral:rRNA from 1 species